AACGCGAAGAACCUUACCUGGGCUCGAAAUGCUGUGGACCAGCUUAUGAAAGUAGGCCUUCCCGCAAGAGACCGGAGUCGAGGUGCUGCAUGGCUGUCGUCAGCUCGUGUCGUGAGAUGUUGGGUUAAGUCCCGCAACGAGCGCAACCCUUGUCCUGUGUUGCCACUCCCGUAAGGGAAGCACUCUCAGGAGACCGCCAGCGAUAAGUUGGAGGAAGGUGGGGAUGAUGUCAAGUCAUCAUGGCCUUUAUGUCCAGGGCUACACACGUGCUACAAUGGACGGUACAAAGCGCUGCAAACCCGCGAGGGGGAGCCAAUCGCAAAAAACCGUUCUCAGUUCGGAUCGCAGGCUGCAACUCGCCUGCGUGAAGCUGGAAUCGCUAGUAAUGGCGUAUCAGAACGAUGCCGUGAAUACGUUCCCGGGCCUUGUACACACCGCUAGUC
rnacentral:rRNA from 1 species